AAUCAACGCUGGCGGCGUGCCUAACACAUGCAAGUCGAACGCGAAAGCCCCGCAAGGGGUAGGUAGAGUGGCAAACGGGUGAGUAACACGUGGGUGACCUGCCUUCGAGUGGGGUAUAACGUCCCGAAAGGGACGCUACUACCGCAUGACAUCCUGCUUUUGAACACGCGGAGGUCAAAGCUGGGGAUCGCGAGACCUAUCGCUUGGAGAGGGGCCCGCGCCUGGUUAGCUAGUUGGUGUGGUAACGCCUCACCAAGGCGACGAACAGUAUCCGGAAGGAGAGGGCGGAUGGACACACUGGGAGGGAGACACGGCACAGACUGACACGGGAGGGAGCAGGGGGGAAAUGUGCGGAAGGGGCGCAAGCCUGACGACGAAACGCCGAGUGGAGGACGAAGAACGUCGGGUCGUAAACGACGGUCGAGCGGGACGAACGCUUCGCGGAUGAAUAAGCCGCGGAAUUGACGGUACCGCUAAAGGAAGCCCCGGCCAACUACGUG
rnacentral:rRNA from 1 species